AUGUCAUGUUGUUCCAGAGUGGUGAUGUCAUGUUGUUCCAGAGUGGUGAUGUCAUGUUGUUCCAGAGUGGUGAUGUCAUAUUGUUCAAGAGUGAUGAUGUCAUGUUGUUCCAGAGUGGUGAUGUCAUCUUGUUCCAGAUUGGUGAUGUCAUGUUGUUCCAGAGUGGUGAUGUCAUGUUGUUCCAGUGUGGUGAUGUCAUGUUGUUCCAGAGUGGUGAUGUCAUGUUGUUCCAGAGUGGUGAUGUCAUAUUGUUCCAGAGUGGUGAUGUCAUGUUGUUCCAGAGUGGUGAUGUCAUGUUGUUCCAGAGUGGUGAUGUCAUGUUGUUCCAGAGUGGUGAUGUCAUGUUGUUCCAGAGUGGUGAUGUCAUCUUGUUCCAGGGUGGUGAUGUCAUGUUGUUCCAGAGUGGUGAUGUCAUGUUGUUCCAGAGUGGUGAUGUCAUGUUGUUCCAGAGUUGUGAUGUCAUAUUGUUCCAGAGUGGUGAUAUCAUGUUGUUCCAGAGUGGUGAUGUCAUGUUGUUCCAGAGUGGUGAUGUCAUAUUGUUCAAGAGUGGUGAUGUCAUGUUGUUCCAGAAUGGUGAUGUCAUUUUGUUCCAGAGUGGUGAUGUCAUGCUGUUCCAGAGUGGUGAUUUCAUGUUGUUCCAGAGUGGUGAUGUCAUGUUGUUCCAGAGUGGUGAUGUCAUGUUGUUCCAGAGUGGUGAUGUCAUGUUGUUCCAGUGGUGAUGUCAUGUUGUUCCAGAGUGGUGAUGUCAUGUUGUUCCAGAGUGGUGAUGUCAUGUUGUUCCAGAGUGGUGAUGUCAUAUUGUUCAAGAGUGGUGAUGUCAUGUUGUUCCAGAGUGGUGAUGUCAUUUUGUUCCAGAGUGGUGAUGUCAUGCUGUUCCAGAGUGGUGAUGUCAUGUUGUUCCAGAGUGGUGAUGUCAUGUUGAUCCAGAGUGGUGAUGUCAUGUUGUUCCAGAGUGGUGAUGUCAUGUUGUUCCAGAGUGGUGAUGUCAUGUUGUUCCAGAGUGGUGAUGUCAUGUUGUUCCAGUGGUGA
rnacentral:lncRNA from 1 species